rnacentral:lncRNA from 1 species
CCUUAUCCAGCGUUGCUAGCGCAUAAUGCAACGUUUAUAUCUCCGUUGGUAAAAGGGACCGUUGCAAGGAUGCAACACAUAAACCAGACUGGUGCAACACUUUUAUAUGUUGGUCAUUAAUGUAGAUGAAUCAAAAUCCCAUUGCCUGGCAACGGAGAAUUCGCAACCCUUCAAUUGUUGGUACUCACAAAAUAUGAAAUAAUAUUAUUAUUUUUAUAUUUAUUGUCAGAAAUUAAAUUAAUGCUCCACUAUGUAUUGUGAAGAACAAAUAGAUAAUUAUGUAUUUCAAGUGAAAAAAAACAAGAGAAUAUACUCACGGGAGGGAGAAAUCAUAUAUGAGAUAAAAUUGUUGAAUUACAGCAGUGGGUAUUACAAGAGAAACAUCCUCCACAUGUGAUGAAUAAUCUAAAUAGUUUCUUGACAUUGAAACUAAAAUUGAAAGCAUCCAUCAACAUCCCAAAACUUAACUAAAACAUAACCAGGGAACAUCAUCCCUACAACUUAAUUAAAACUGGAAGCGUCCAUCAUCAUAAUCAGCAUCAUCAUCAGGAACUUCAUCGUCAUAAUUGCAGUAUACUUGUCACACACCCAUAUAAUGAUCCAUUUAUCUUUUCAAUCUACAAACAAAAAGCAAAACGAACUGUUAACACACAAUGCAUUGAAAUGAUGCAAGUAGUGACAGAGGCAGGAUAUUAGUCGCGUACAAAUAUUACUGAAGUUGUAACCAUGAAAGAAUUGCAAAGCUUAGCUUGUAAAUACCUAAUUUGCAAUUUAAGUUCCUACCCUCAUACAAAUGAAAUCCACAAGUAUAUCGCUUUUUGACAAUGCAAGGAUCAUCCUCUCAGCCUUCGCAACAUAGCAGACAGAAUUUUCUUCAAACAUCAUAAAAAAAUAUAGUAAGAUCAUUGUACUAUGCAUACUGAAGUUCACACCGUUCUAAAGCAAAUAAACAGUGUUUGUGUUCAAUUAGCCUGAUCAAACCCUUGAAGAGUUACAAAUAUAUGCAUCUGUCAUUUAUCGAGUUUACUCCUAACAGAAAAUUGUGAACUUACUUCCACUAGAAUUUUCAUCUACUUUGUAUAUCAGUAUAUCACUAACAAGAUUUCAAAGUCAUGUGAUCAAAGAGAUUCGAUAUGAUGUACUUACAACCAAAGCUCCAUUUACUGUAGCAUUGUAGUGUUGAAUAGGCCAUUACCAUAGAUGCAAAUCUGGAAGUACGUUAAUAUGUAUGAAAUUUACAAUCUUACUUAUAUUUUGUUCUCGCCCCUUUUGUUGCAGUACAACAUGUCACAAUAUUUAUAUUAGUAUAUAUAUGUGCAGAGGUAGCAAGUAGCCAGCUAAAAAACAAUUAAUGCAAGCUGCAAAAUAUUGAUCCGAAAUACAUAUGAGAAGGCACUGCCUUUGCACAGUUCAUUCAGCUACAGCUAUAUAAGCUUAUCAAACUACAUUUAAACAGAAGGACACAUAUUUUUGUGUGCCAUGGCCUUGAAUGCAUAAUUCAAUUCAAGAAAACGCAAUCACCAAACAGAUGUAGAGAAGCAAAAGUUGUAGUCUGAAGUUGCAGUAUACCUGAUCAUAUAUAAUACAUGUCAUUUCUUAAUCACGUGUCCACACCAAUAUACCUAAAAAUGCAGUAGCAUGGAAAAAAAUAUAGGGGAGAGAUGCAGCCUUCCAGUGAACUGCGUUUUCCAGCUAUAAGCAAGCUUUGUAAUAAUAUAUAAUCGGGUGAGAGGAGAGUUAGAUCAACACUUCUUAUUAUGGGGUAAAUUAAUAAGUUAUGUACCCCCUCCAUUCAAAAAUAAGUGUCCUGUACGAUUUACUCUUCAACAACAUAUGGAACUUGUUCAUUCAACACAAGUUGUUUAUGGUAUGAAAAUUGAACAAAGAAACCAUAUACAAAUAUUGUCUUUAUUCAGAGGAGUGUAAAUGCUGGUCCUUUUAUUGAGUUGUAGAGUAAAGUAUCAGCAUACAUGAAUCAUCUAUCACAAGAACACUAAGAAGACGGUGUGAACCACUAACUUAUAUAAGCAACAGUAGCUCGGAAUGUGCACUCCUGGUGCAACGGUUCAGUGAGAUUAUACCCAAAAAUGAUGAACUUCACACGUGAGUACCUGCAAUGCUUGGAAUCCAGCUACUAGCAGGUGAACAAAAUUUGAUGGACACCAUGUGCUUUUAACAUUUUUUUCAUUGGACUGCAUAGGAAAUAACAUUUCUUAAUAUCACUGAACAACGCACUUGGUGCCAAGAUUAAAAAAUUAUGAUUAUAUGGUAUGCUGAUUCGAGUUACCAUCCAGUGCAAUGAAACUUAUGUGUUGUAUUUGCGCAUUAUCUAUUUGAAACCUCAGUGGCCACCACAUAUUUUCGGACAAUAACAACAUUGAUCACUAAGGUAACGUGUCCAUCUUAUACAGGAUAUUACAACUAAGCAAUGUGUAGACACUGCAUACUAUGACAAUCAUGUACGAGUCUCUGAUCUUUAAGCCACAUACCUAAUAGAUGAAGAAUAAAAGGCACAAAUCAUAAGCUUAUUUAACUUCUUGGCUCGCUUACCAAAAAGAAGUUACGGAAGCUGACCUUCAUGUGACCACGAAUUUGGGACAAACCUGACAGAUUUCUUCGGUGGGGAAGGAGAUCUCGCGGUGAUGGAGCUCGUGGACACGAUGGUUUGUCAUGGGGAGGCUGAUGGCCGCGUCGGCGAGGGGCUGUGCGCUGACUCCAUACCUUGCAUCCCGUGCUCAGGGACCUGACAGGGACGGGGACGGAGUAGAUGGCGGCGAAGGAGGAUAGGGGAGGCGACAACGGCGGUGCCGACGACGAGACCUGAUGCGUGCGAGGAGCCGACGGCGGCGCAGGAGACCUG